rnacentral:rRNA from 1 species
AGAACUUAGCAGAGAUGCUUUGGUGCCUUCGGGAACUCUGAGACAGGUGCUGCAUGGCUGUCGUCAGCUCGUGUUGUGAAAUGUUGGGUUAAGUCCCGCAACGAGCGCAACCCUUAUCCUUUGUUGCCAGCGGUCCGGCCGGGAACUCAAAGGAGACUGCCAGUGAUAAACUGGAGGAAGGUGGAGAUGACGUCAAGUCAUCAUGGCCCUUACGAGUAGGGCUACACACGUGCUACAAUGGCGCAUACAAAGAGAAGCGACCUCGCGAGAGCAAGCGGACCUCAUAAAGUGCGUCGUAGUCCGGAUUGGAGUCUGCAACUCGACUCCAUGAAGUCGGAAUCGCUAGUAAUCGUGGAUCAGAAUGCCACGGUGAAUACGUUCCCGGGCCUUGUACACACCGCCCGUCACACCAUGGGAGUGGGUUGCAAAAGAAGUAGGUAGCUUAACCUUCGGGAGGGCGCUUACCACUUUGUGAUUCAUGACUGGGGUGAAGUCGUAACAAGGUAGGCGUAGUGCU